UGCCAGACUCCUACGGGAGGCAGCAGUGGGGGAUAUUGCACAAUGGGGGGAACCCUGAUGCAGCGACGCCGCGUGGGUGAAGGAGCGUUUCGGCGCGUAAAGCCCUAUCGGCAGGGAAGAAGGAGGACGGUACCUGACUAAGAAGCCCCGGCUAACUACGUGCCAGCAGCCGCGGUAAUACGUAGGGGGCAAGCGCUAUCCGGAUUUACUGGGUGUAAAGGGAGCGUAGACGGCGAGGUAAGCCUGAAGUGGAAGCCCGCGGCCCAACCGCGGAACUGCUUUGGGAACUGUUUUGCUGGAGUAUGGGAGGGGUAAGUGGAAUUCCUGGUGUAGCGGUGAAAUGCGUAGAUAUCAGGAGGAACACCGGUGGCGAAGGCGGCCUGCUGGACCGCAACUGACGUUGAGGCCCGAAAGCGUGGGGAGCAAACAGGAUUAGAUACCCGCGUAGU
rnacentral:rRNA from 1 species